UCACACAAUUAGUGAGUGUCUGAGGCCAGAUUUAACUCAGAUCCCCCUGACUCCAGAGUUCUGUAUUCUAUCUAGCUUUGCACACUGGAAAUGCUUAAACAAAUACUUAAUGGAAUAGAUUGAAAUAAAUAUUUAUUGGAUUGUCCCCUCUGUCCCCUCUCUCCCUAUAAUAAUACUACCACUGGUAUAAUGGCAGUAAAGUAAUAGAUAUUUUUAAAAAAUCAACUUCUCACAACUGAGGAGUGGGAUAAAUACUCUUUAUUGAUUAUGGUACUUUUAUCUGGGACCAGAAAAAUGUGAUUGCCUGGUUUCCAUUGGCAACCAGCUGAGCACACUUGAGGAGGGUAUGGUAUUUAUGCCCUUCUCACAGGAGGGUGAGGGUGAGCUGUUGGUGGAGAGCUAGUAUGCUCUCACCCUCCCACCCAACUGCUUUCCCCAUUGUUCUGUUCCUGGUUAGCAAAGGAGGCAAGUUUGCCAUUGGUGACCUCUCUCUGCUAUGUGUUCUGCUGUAAUUUGGGUGCAGAUUGCAACAUUCACACCGUGCUUGCCUUCUCUUCCAGACAAAGCUGUUUCCUCCCAAAGCACAGCACGUUGCUAACCCUUGAGAUGCAAAGCUUUCUCCCAUGGGGGAAUUAUGACCUUACUUUUCUUCUACCAGUUACUUCAGCUUCUCAUUUCUGAGUUGGGACACCCAGCUGCUAGCAUGUGUGCAUCAUAAGAUCCUAGACUUCAGGAAAGAAGGAAACUUAGAAUUGGGGACAUUGAAACUCAGAGAAGUAUCCCUUUUUUACAGUAAGUGCCAGUAGUAGGAUUCCAGCUCAGCUCUUCUUCACUAUAAGUCCAUCAUAUGUAUCCACUAUAACCCUGGUAGAUAAGGGCCAGAGAACAUGAAGCCUGCAGUGGAGGGUCAGUGGAACUAGGAAAGGGAGCCAGAGGGCUUUGAAGGCUCUGUCUCAUUCUGCUUUGGAAACAGGCUGAGCAUGGUCACAGACGCUUAGGAACUGAAUCAGGUUACACCUCAGGCUCACUGAUAGAUUUUUUUUAAUGAGAAAAAUAAAUGAGAAACAGACUCCAGGAA